CGUAUUUUAUUCAUGGGAUUCAAUUAAAACCAUUUGGGCUUUGAUUGCCCAAACAUUAAAUAAAAGCUCACACAAAUACAAGCCUAUAAGUCCAAAUGAUUAGGGUUUUGUCUUCUUUGAAGAGGUUGUAGUGGCGGGGGGCAGACGGUGUCUUGUCGGCAAUAGAAGAAGAACAAACAAAUUCAUCAUCAUAAUCCGUUGUUUAAAGCUAAUUAAAGGAAAAGAAAAGAGAAAAUUUUGUGUAGAAGAAGAAUUAAUUGAAGAGUAGAGAUGAGAAUAUGAAGAAAGGAUGAAAGAAGAGAAGAAAACUAACUUAAAACAAAAAAAAGAGAACGAACAAACAGAGACGAAAAGAGAUCAAGAGAAGGAUUGACUUUGUGUGAGGGUGAGAGAAAUUCAACGAAGAAGAUGGAUGUUGAAUGGUGAGAGGCUGAGAGCGUUCAUGAUCUCGUUUGGUGG
rnacentral:sRNA from 1 species